rnacentral:rRNA from 1 species
UACGUAGGGUCCGAGCGUUGUCCGGAUUUACUGGGCGUAAAGAGCGCGCAGGCGGCUGGUCAAGUCCGAUGUGAAAGCUCCCGGCUUAACUGGGAAAUUGCAUCGGAAACUGAUCGGCUCGAAGGCAGGAGAGGGUAGUGGAAUUCCCGGUGUAGUGGUGAAAUGCGUAGAUAUCGGGAGGAACACCAGUGGCGAAGGCGACUACCUGGCCUGUUCUUGACGCUGAGGCGCGAAAGCUAGGGGAGCAAACGGG